rnacentral:siRNA from 1 species
AGCACUGACAUUUCUCCCGGCAUC